AGUGAACGCUGGCGGUAGGCCUAACACAUGCAAGUCGAACGGCAGCACAGUAAGAGCUUGCUCUUACGGGUGGCGAGUGGCGGACGUGUGAGGAAUACAUCGGAAUCUACUUUUUCGUGUGGGAUAACGUAGGUAAACUUACGCUAAUACCGCAUACGACCUACUGGUUAAAGCAGUGGAUCUUCUGACCUUGCGCGUUUUAAUUAGCCGAUGUCGGAUUAGCUAGUUGGCGGGGUAAAGGCCCACCAAGGCGACGAUCCGUAGCUGGUCUGAGAGGAUGAACAGGCACACUGGAAGUGAGAAAGGGACAAGAAGACUAGGGGAGGAAGCAGAGGGGAAUAUGGGAAAAUGGGGGAAAGGAUGAUCCAGAAAGACCGAGUGGGUGAAGAAGGAAUUGGGGGUGUAAAGACAUUUUGUUGGGAAAGAAAAGAAGGAGGUUAAAAACACGAUGGUAUGACGGUAACAAAAGAAUAAGAAACGGCUAACUUCGUG
rnacentral:rRNA from 1 species